rnacentral:rRNA from 1 species
AUUGAACGCUGGCGGCAUGCCUUACACAUGCAAGUCGAACGGUAACAGGUUAAUCUGACGAGUGGCGAUCGGGAGCGCAAUGCAACGGAACGUUCCCAGUCGUGGGGCAUAGCGCGGCGUAAGCCGAAUUAGUACCGCAUCCGACCGAGGAGGGUUAGGGGCGGUUCGCGCGACCUCUCGCUAUUGGGGCGGUCGAUGUCAGAUUAGCUAGUUGGUGGGGUAAAAGCUAACCAGUGCGACGGUCUGUAGCUGGUCUGAGGGGACGAGGAGCCACACUGGGACUGAGACACGGCCCAGACUCCGACGGGAGGCAGCGGCGGGGAAUUUUGGACAAAGGGGGCAAGCCUGAUCCAGCCAUGCCGCGUGCAGGAAGAAGGCCUUCGGGUGGUAAAACGCUUUUGUCAGUGAAGAAAUCCUUUGGGUUAAGAGCUCGGGGGGAUGACGGUACCUGAAGAAGAAGCACCGGCUAACUACGUG